UAGGGAAUUUUCCGCAAUGGGCGAAAGCCUGACGGAGCAAUCUCGCGUGAGGGAUGACGGCCUAUGGGUUGUAAACCUCUUUUUCAGGGAGGAACAAAAUGACGUGUACCUGAAGAAUAAGCAUCGGCUAACUCCGUGCCAGCAGCCGCGGUAAGACGGAGGAUGCAAGUGUUAUCCGGAAUCACUGGGCGUAAAGCGUCUGUAGGUGGUUUAGUAAGUCAACUGUUAAAUCUUGAAGCUCAACUUCAAAAUCGCAGUCGAAACUAUUAGACUAGAGUAUAGUAGGGUAAAGGGAAUUUCCAGUGGAGCGGUGAAAUGCGUAGAGAUUGGAAAGAACACCGAUGGCGAAG
rnacentral:rRNA from 1 species